GUCACAGGAAGAAGGGAGAGCCCAGUACAGUAAGAUGUUUUGAGAGAUCUCCAAGACUGCACGGCAUGGAGAAACUACAUUCAAGAAGGAGCCAGAGUCCCUGAAUCACCACAUGGAAGAGAGUCAGUCGUGUCUGGCUGAGUUUGGGACUUCCCAGGCCCCAGAACGGGCCUACUGCAAGGGAAGAGCUCGACAAUACGUUUGCAUCAUCAUGGAAUCUCUCAGACAUUCUGCUCUGGCUACAAACGAAUGAGACGUGCCUGACUGGCGAUGGGUACGUCCUACUGUCUAGGGACAGUACCAAUAAGUUGAAUACGUGACCUGCUUCAUUUGCCUUUCAUGUUAGUUAGUGACUUUCCUGGGCCACAUCCGGCCCUCAAAGAUAUUUCAUAGUAAAGCCAUAUGAGAACGCU